rnacentral:miRNA from 1 species
CUCAAGGGUGUUUGUGAAAUA